rnacentral:rRNA from 1 species
UAGGGAAUCUUCCACAAUGGACGAAAGUCUGAUGGAGCAACGCCGCGUGAGUGAAGAAGGGUUUCGGCUCGUAAACUCUGUUGUUAAAGAAGAACAUAUCUGAGAGUAACUGUUCAGGUAUUGACGGUAUUUAACCAGAAAGCCACGGCUAACUACGUGCCUG